rnacentral:piRNA from 1 species
UAUCAACCAAUAGAGGCACCGAAGGAGA